rnacentral:lncRNA from 1 species
AACUAUAAUACACAAUAACAGAUUCAAAUUUCACAGCAUGUAGUCACGGUUACUAUCAUUUAACCAAUACUCGAACGCUGAGCUGUGGGACAGUCUCCGAGAAGUCGAACUUAGGAAUGUAGUGCGGUCUCUGGACUUCGAGGUAGCUGGAGGUGGAGCAAAUUUCAGCAUUAGACAGUGCCAAUUGAUAUGCUUGGCUAGAGCUAUACUAAAAAAAAAUCGAUUGCUCGUACUUGACGAAGCUACCGCAAAUGUUGACAAUGGAUACCAUGAGGUGGAAAUUCGCCGACUGUACGGUUUUGAUAAUAGCACAUUGAUUGAAAACGAUAAUGGACAGUGACCGAUUAUUUGUCAUGGAAGCCGGUCGCAUCUUGGAUUUUGGACAUCCCUAUUUGCUGUUGCAAAAUCGAGACGGCCACUUUUCGCUAAUGUUUCAAAAAACCGGAAAGGUGAUGAGGAAAGAACUUUCGAAGGUUGCUGAGAAAGCGAAACGGCUCGAUGUUGAAUCCAGGAAAAUAUCGAACGUCGGCACCAUCUCUAAUAUCAGAUAGACCAGACAUUCAUCGUGAAAAUAGUUCCAGAACUGACUGAGUCUUACUUCGAAUAGUCAGAUCCUCAAAGGCACUGAUGAAAAGCAAUUUCGUCGAACCCUUGUCAUCGAUCAUUAGGUACAACAAGAUACUUGCGUCUAACGCAGCUGCAGUUUACAGUCAAAUAUGUAAUUAAACGUUUAUAAAGCAUAAGU